UAGGGAAUCUUCCGCAAUGGGCGAAAGCCUGACGGAGCAACGCCGCGUGAGUGAUGAAGGUCUUCGGAUCGUAAAACUCUGUUAUUAGGGAAGAACAAAUGUGUAAGUAACUAUGCACGUCUUGACGGUACCUAAUCAGAAAGCCACGGCUAACUACGUGCCAGCAGCCGCGGUAAUACGCAGGUGGCAAGCGUUAUCCGGAAUUAUUGGGCGUAAAGCGCGCGUAGGCGGUUUUUUAAGUCUGAUGUGAAAGCCCACGGCUCAACCGUGGAGGGUCAUUGGAAACUGGAAAACUUGAGUGCAGAAGAGGAAAGUGGAAUUCCAUGUGUAGCGGUGAAAUGCGCAGAGAUAUGGAGGAACACCAGUGGCGAAGGCGACUUUCUGGUCUGUAACUGACGCUGAUGUGCGAAAGCGUGGAGAUCAAACAGG
rnacentral:rRNA from 1 species